rnacentral:rRNA from 1 species
AUUGAACGCUGGCGGCAGGCCUAACACAUGCAAGUCGAACGGCAGCACGGGGGCAACCCUGGUGGCGAGUGGCGAACGGGUGAGUAAUGCAUCGGAACGUGCCCAGUAGUGGGGGAUAACCAGUCGAAAGACUGGCUAAUACCGCAUACGACCUACGGGUGAAAGCGGGGGACCGUAAGGCCUCGCGCUAUCGGAGCGGCCGAUGUCUGAUUAGCUAGUUGGCGGGGUAAGAGCCCACCAAGGCGACGAUCAGUAGCUGGUCUGAGAGGACGACCAGCCACACUGGGACUGAGACACGGCCCAGACUCCUACGGGAGGCAGCAGUGGGGAAUUUUGGACAAUGGGCGCAAGCCUGAUCCAGCCAUGCCGCGUGCGGGAAGAAGGCCUUCGGGUUGUAAACCGCUUUUGGCAGGAACGAAACGGCGCAAGCCAAUACCUUGCGCUAAUGACGGUACCUGCAGAAUAAGCACCGGCUAACUACGUGCCAGCCGCCGCGGUAAGAC